rnacentral:misc_RNA from 1 species
AGUCGUAACAAGGUCUCCGUUGGUGAACCAGCGGAGGGAUCAUUACCGAGUUAUUCAACUCAUCAACCCUGUGAACAUACCUAAACGUUGCUUCGGCGGGAACAGACGGCCCCGUGAAACGGGCCGCCCCCGCCAGAGGACCCCUAACUCUGUUUCUAUAAUGUUUCUUCUGAGUAAAACAAGCAAAUAAAUUAAAACUUUCAACAACGGAUCUCUUGGCUCUGGCAUCGAUGAAGAACGCAGCGAAAUGCGAUAAGUAAUGUGAAUUGCAGAAUUCAGUGAAUCAUCGAAUCUUUGAACGCACAUUGCGCCCGCCAGUAUUCUGGCGGGCAUGCCUGUUCGAGCGUCAUUACAACCCUCAGGCCCCCGGGCCUGGCGUUGGGGAUCGGCGGAGCCCCCCGUGGGCACACGCCGUCCCCCAAAUACAGUGGCGGUCCCGCCGCAGCUUCCAUCGCGUAGUAGCUAACACCUCGCGACUGGAGAGCGGCGCGGCCACGCCGUAAAACACCCAACUCUUCUGAAGUUGACCUCGAAUCAGGUAGGAAUACCCGCUGAACCUAAGCAUAUC